rnacentral:rRNA from 1 species
UACGUAGGGUGCAAGCGUUGUCCGGAAUUAUUGGGCGUAAAGAGCUCGUAGGCGGUUCGUCGCGUCGGCUGUGAAAUCCCGAGGCUCAACCUCGGGUCUGCAGUCGAUACGGGCGGACUGGAGUUCGGCAGGGGAGACUGGAAUUCCUGGUGUAGCGGUGAAAUGCGCAGAUAUCAGGAGGAACACCGGUGGCGAAGGCAGGUCUCUGGGCUGACACUGACGCUCAUGCACGAAAGCGUGGGGAGCAAACAGG